GACGAACGCUGGCGGCGUGCUUAACACAUGCAAGUCGAACGGAAAGGCCCUGCUUUUGUGGGGUGCUCGAGUGGCGAACGGGUGAGUAACACGUGAGUAACCUGCCCUUGACUUUGGGAUAACUUCAGGAAACUGGGGCUAAUACCGGAUAGGAGCUCCUGCUGCAUGGUGGGGGUUGGAAAGUUUCGGCGGUUGGGGAUGGACUCGCGGCUUAUCAGCUUGUUGGUGGGGUAGUGGCUUACCAAGGCUUUGACGGGUAGCCGGCCUGAGAGGGUGACCGGCCACAUUGGGACUGAGAUACGGCCCAGACUCCUACGGGAGGCAGCAGUGGGGAAUAUUGCACAAUGGGCGGAAGCCUGAUGCAGCAACGCCGCGUGCGGGAUGACGGCCUUCGGGUUGUAAACCGCUUUCGCCUGUGACGAAGCGUGAGUGGCGGUAAUGAGUAAAGAAGCACCGGCUAACUACGUG
rnacentral:rRNA from 1 species